GGAGAGGUGGCUCAGCGGUUAAGAGCACUGACUGUUCUUCCAGAGGUCCUGAGUUCAAUUCCCAGCAACUACA
rnacentral:tRNA from 1 species